CAACUUUCAGCAACGGAUCUCUUGGCUCUCGCAUCGAUGAAGAACGCAGCGAAAUGCGAUAAGUAAUGUGAAUUGCAGAAUUCAGUGAAUCAUCGAAUCUUUGAACGCACCUUGCGCUCCUUGGUAUUCCGAGGAGCAUGCCUGUUUGAGUGUCAUG
rnacentral:rRNA from 82 species